rnacentral:rRNA from 1 species
GAUGAACGCUGGCGGCGUGCCUAAUACAUGCAAGUCGAGCGAACGGACGAGAAGCUUGCUUCUCUGAUGUUAGCGGCGGACGGGUGAGUAACACGUGGAUAACCUACCUAUAAGACUGGGAUAACUUCGGGAAACCGGAGCUAAUACCGGAUGAUAUUUUGAACCGCAUGGUUCAAAAGUGAAAGACGGUCUUGCUGUCACUUAUAGAUGGAUCCGCGCUGCAUUAGCUAGUUGGUAAGGUAACGGCUUACCAAGGCAACGAUGCAUAGCCGACCUGAGAGGGUGAUCGGCCACACUGGAACUGAGGCACGGUCCAGACUCCUACGGGAGGCAGCAGUAGGGAAUCUUCCGCAAUGGGCGAAAGCCUGACGGAGCAACGCCGCGUGAGUGAUGAAGGUCUUCGGAUCGUAAAACUCUGUUAUUAGGGAAGAACAUAUGUGUAAGUAACUGUGCACAUCUUGACGGUACCUAAUCAGAAAGCCACGGCUAACUACGUG